GAUGAACGCUGGCGGUCUGCUUAACACAUGCAAGUCGAACGGUCUCUUUCGGGCGCUAGUGGCGGACGGGUUAGUAACGCGUGAGAAUCUGCCCUUUGGAGGUGCCUAACGGUUGGAAACGACCGCUAAUACCCCUUGUGCCGAGCGGUUAAAAGUAAUUCGCCAACGGUUGAGCUCGCGUCGGAUUAGCUAGUUGGUGGGGUAAUAGCCCACCAAGGCGACGAUCCGUAGCUGGUCUGAGAGGAUGACCAGCCAAACUGGGACUGAGACACGGGCAAGACUCCUACGGGAAGCAGCAGUGGGGAAUUUGACGAAAGGGGCGCAAGCCUGACGGGGCAAGACAGCGUGAGGGAAGACGGUCUGUGGAGAGUAAACCUCUUUUGACAGAGAAGAAGUACUGACGGUACCUGUCGAAUCAGCCACGGCUAACUACGUG
rnacentral:rRNA from 1 species